AACAGCCCAGAUCACCGGUUAAGGUCCCAAAAUCUAUGCUAAGUGGAAAAGGAUGUGGAGUUGCACAGACAACUAGGAUGUUGGCUCAGAAGCAGCCACCAUUUAAAGAGUGCGUAAUAGCUCACUAGUCGAGUGACGCUGCGCCGAAAAUUUACCGGGGCUAAGCAUAGUACCGAAACCGUGGAUGCAGUUAACUGCGUGGUAGGAGAGCGUUCUAAAGGCGGAGAAGGCAGAUCGAGAGGACUGUUGGAGCGUUUAGAAGUGAGAAUGCCGGUAUAAGUAGCGAAAGACAGGUGAGAAUCCUGUCCGCCGAAAGACUAAGGUUUCCUGGGGCAGGCUCGUCCGCCCAGGGUAAGUCGGGACCUAAGGUAAGGCCGAGAGGCGUAGCCGAUGGACAACAGGUAGAUAUUCCUGUACUAUUCGUAAUCGAUAAGAGCGAAGGAGGGACGCAGGAGGCUAAUGACGCAUGGAGAUGGAAUCAUGUGUAAGCGUUAAGGAAGGAUACGAGUCAAAUGCUUGUAGCCAAUUUUGAGACGUGAUGCGGAGUGAAAUCAAAGUAGCGAAGGUCAUGAAGUCACACUGCCAAGAAAAGCUUCUAGCCAGAGAGCGAGUACCCGUACCGCAAACCGACACAGGUAGUCGAGGAGAGAAUCCUCAGGUGAGCGAGAGAACUCUCGUUAAGGAACUCGGCAAAAUAACCCCGUAACUUAGGG
rnacentral:rRNA from 1 species